rnacentral:rRNA from 1 species
GUUUGAUGUUCUAACGUGGACCCGUGAUCCGGGUUGCGGACAGUGUCUGGUGGGUAGUUUGACUGGGGCGGUCUCCUCCUAAAGAGUAACGGAGGAGCACGAAGGUUGGCUAAUCCUGGUCGGACAUCAGGAGGUUAGUGCAAUGGCAUAAGCCAGCUUGACUGCGAGCGUGACGGCGCGAGCAGGUGCGAAAGCAGGUCAUAGUGAUCCGGUGGUUCUGAAUGGAAGGGCCAUCGCUCAACGGAUAAAAGGUACUCCGGGGAUAACAGGCUGAUACCGCCCAAGAGUUCAUAUCGACGGCGGUGUUUGGCACCUCGAUGUCGGCUCAUCACAUCCUGGGGCUGAAGUAGGUCCCAAGGGUAUGGCUGUUCGCCAUUUAAAGUGGUACGCGAGCUGGGUUUAGAACGUCGUGAGACAGUUCGGUCCCUAUCUGCCGUGGGCGCUGGAGAACUGAGGGGGGCUGCUCCUAGUACGAGAGGACCGGAGUGGACGCAUCACUGGUGUUCGGGUUGUCAUGCCAAUGGCACUGCCCGGUAGCUAAAUGCGGAAGAGAUAAGUGCUGAAAGCAUCUAAGCACGAAACUUGCCCCGAGAUGAGUUCUCCCUGACUCCUUGAGAGUCCUGAAGGAACGUUGAAGACGACGACGUUGAUAGGCCGGGUGUGUAAGCGCAGCGAUGCGUUGAGCUAACCGGUACUAAUGAACCGUGAGGCUUAACCUUACAACGCCGAAGCUGUU